rnacentral:lncRNA from 1 species
AGGAUAUAGAAGAUAUUGAGGAGUGCUUCAUUGGGAAUGUCGGUAUGGAUGAGCACUUGGCCUUUUCACGGAGUAGUGUGAUCACAAUGACCAAUUACUUGUGGAAUUGCAAAAGAUUACCGGAAGACAUUCCACUUGAAACUAACAAAACAGAAAAACCCAUUCCAGAAACCUUUAUACCAUCAGAAACAACCUGUCCAUACUGCCCAGGGUCAUGUCCUCCCGAUCUUAGCAAUGCUUUUGUGGUUACAACACAAGCAACUGUUUAUGGGAUGUUUUGGCAGAAUAGAGGUAUUUCCGUUUAUGCCAAGGCAUGCCCAGUUUGCAGAAAUGUAGUUCGUUUUCAGGACUACAAUUCUGGAUUCCCCAAUUAUAACAACAGGAAUCACAUUGUUGUUGGUAGAAUGCUGCACACUAUAGAAUCUCAUUCUGGGACUACAGUGCCACACAACACUGAGAAAAGCAUUCUACCACUUCAGUGCUCUCAGGCAGUAUACGUACAGUUAUUUCUGUUACCGCUGUGGACACCACCCAUCUGUGGUCAUUGCUGAUUGAAGAUUGCCUUUGAUUUGCCAGAUGAGUGUUAGUGAAUAUAUUUUGUUUAAAAUAGAAAUAUCUUCAGAGUACAUAGCUUAAAGGAAUAGCUGACCUAAAAUUUUAAAGUCUCUUAUUUUUUACUCACAAGUCCGUUCUCUGCGUUCUUGGAAUUGAGAAACAGCCGUAGUUUUGUGUUUCUCUUCUCUGUUUCUGCUUAUUAACAGCAGGUGUUCACCAUCAGUGCUCAAUCAUAACUUAA